rnacentral:snoRNA from 12 species
CUGCGGUGAUGCUUCUCUUAGGACACCUUUGGAUUUACCGUGAAAACAAACCAGUUCUGAGCAGC